CCUACGGGAGGCAGCAGUGAGGAAUAUUGGUCAAUGGGCGUAAGCCUGAACCAGCCAAGUCGCGUGAGGGAUGAAGGUUCUAUGGAUCGUAAACCUCUUUUAUAAGGGAAUAAAGUGCGGGACGUGUCCCGCUUUGUAUGUACCUUAUGAAUAAGGAUCGGCUAACUGCGGGCCAGCAGCCGCGGUAAUACUGAGGCUCAGUGCGUUAUCCGGAUUUAUUGGGUUUAAAGGGUGCGUAGGCGGCCUUGUAAGUCAGAGGUGAAAGGCUGUGGCUCAACCAUAGAAUUGCCGAUGAAACUGGGAGACUAGAGUAUGGUAGGGGCAGGCGGAAGGCGGGGUGUAGCGGUGAAAUGCGUAGAUA
rnacentral:rRNA from 1 species